GAGAUUCCCGGGGAGCCCGAAAAACAGUCCACAUUUCUUUUGUGCCAAACAGGUUAUUCCAGUUUAUUAAGGAAGCUUGACUUAAUUCUUUUGAAAAGUCCAGUCCACUCAAAUUUGAUGGAAAUGAGCAAGGCUUGAAGCCUCCAUCAGGGAAACUGUCAAAAGCUUUGUGAACCACAUCACCACCUCUGCCUUAUGGAGGCCAAGGCCAUAUUAGACAACUGAAAAGACAAUAAUAAAAAAAAAAAAACUUCUCAGUGUCUCACACGCAAUAUUGUCUCACCAGCAAAACACACGCGUGAGAAACCGGAUCCUUCUGCAGCAACUUUUUACACCAGUUUCAACAUGAAGAGGAAGACCCCAAGCACCAAAAAGGCGCUGCUUAUAUACACCUUAGUGUGGCGUGUCCACACCUGAUUGUGACUUGGCACGAAUUUACUCUUGCACCUGUGCACAUUAUUUGUUUACCAGUUAGGCACAGUGGAGGCUCAUGAUGGCAAUUGCUCAAGGCUCUCCACACAGUGGAACCAUAUAGCUGAAAAGGAAUGUGAUUUUCUCAAGUUGAAACUAACUAACACGACUAACGAUUUUUGGAAAAUUAUUUAAACCUUUUGAGCCUCUUUUCACACUUUCAAUAAUAAAUUAAUUCAAUUUUUAUUAAAUAUUCCAAGUUUGUGAAACAUGACAACUACUUAUAAAUACAAGUUUUGU
rnacentral:lncRNA from 1 species